rnacentral:rRNA from 1 species
AACGAACGCUGGCGGCAUGCCUAACACAUGCAAGUCGAACGAGACCUUCGGGUCUAGUGGCGCACGGGUGCGUAACGCGUGGGAACCUGCCCUUAGGUUCGGAAUAACUCCCCGAAAGGGGUGCUAAUACCGGUUAAUGUCUUCGGACCAAAGAUUUCUCGCCUUUGGAUGGGCCCGCGUUGGAUUAGCUAGUUGGUAGGGUAAAAGCCUACCAAGGCGACGAUCCAUAGCUGGUCUGAGAGGAUGAUCAGCCACACUGGGACUGAGACACGGCCCAGACUCCUACGGAAGGCAGCAGUGGGGAAUAUUGGACAAUGGGCGAAAGCCUGAUCCAGCAAUGCCGCGUGAGUGAGGAAGGCCGUAGGGUUGUAAAGCUCUUUUACCCGGGAUGAUAAUGACAGUAACGGGAGAAUAAGCUCCGGCUAACUCCGUG